CCGCCAUGCAACAGCCCCGCUCGAACCGUGUCAGGUCCGGAAGGAAGCAGCACUUAGGGAUGUGGUCUGUGUCGUGGAUCGAU
rnacentral:SRP_RNA from 1 species